UACAGAGGUCCCAAGCGUUGUUCGGAUUCACUGGGCGUAAAGGGUGCGUAGGCGGUGAGGUAAGUCGGAUGUGAAAUCUCCGGGCUCAACCCGGAAAUGGCAUUGGAAACUACCUUGCUGGAGGAUUUGAGGGGGGGAUUGGAAUACUUGGUGUAGCAGUGAAAUGCGUAGAUAUCAAGUGGAACACCAGUGGCGAAGGCGAAUCCCUGGAAAAUACCUGACACUGAGGCACGAAAGCUAGGGGAGCAAACAG
rnacentral:rRNA from 1 species